GGAUGAGUCACGAAGAACAACACCAGGAAAAUCCCUCUCAGUGAUGCGCUUCCCAAGCAUAUUCUCUAUGAUAUUACCAUCAGUGCAGGAAGAAUCCCCAAUGACAUUAUCAACAUCCAUGCCAUCAGAUGCCAAAACACUUGUUGAGGCCAUGUGAGCAUCCCCACCAGAAGCUAAAAUUGCAGUAUAGCGUAAAAGACCAAUUGCUCCACUUCUAUGGUACACCACACUAGCAUCAAUCCAGUCCAAAAGCCUUGCAGGAGCAUCUUUUUUGCUGGAUCCUGGGGAGGAGGAAUGUAAGACUCUAUGAAGUUCUUUAGCAUGUCCAAUCCAAGACCCCAGAGAAGAUGCACUUGAGUCCGAAACAAUGACCUCAAGAAUUUC
rnacentral:misc_RNA from 1 species